AGUCUGUGAGGGUAAGUUGCAGACAGCAUGACCCUCUACCUCCAGAUGAGUCAGGGUGUGUCUC
rnacentral:lncRNA from 1 species